rnacentral:tRNA from 2 species
UCGAUUUCAAAAAUCAUGAGGGUUCAAGUCCCUCUAUCCCCA